rnacentral:tRNA from 1 species
GGGUCGCUAGCUCAAUUGGCAGAGCAUCUGACUCUUAAUCAGAGGGUUCAGGGUUCGAGUCCCUGGCGACUCA